UAAUUAAAUAAGGCUCCAGGUGCCCCGGUGUGAGCAGCCGGGGAGAAUAGGGAAUCAGGUGAAAGUCCUGAGCGGUGGGGCCACUGUGAAUAGCGAGCUGCUCCAAAAAACCACUGGAUAGUGAUAUCUGGGAAGGUGGAAGCCAGCGAUGAGCUAUGAGCCAGUAGACCUGCCUGGAGUUUCGACUUGAG
rnacentral:ncRNA from 2 species